rnacentral:rRNA from 1 species
AGAGUUUGAUCCUGGCUCAGAACGAACGCUGGCGGCGUGUUUAAGACAUGCAAGUCGCACGGGAUUGAAUGAGUAGUAAUACGAGUUCAGUCUAGUGGCGCACGGGUGAGUAACAUGUGAAUUACAUGCCCUAUAGUGGGGAAUAGCCCAGGGAAACUUGGAUUAAUACCCCAUAGUCUCGCAAGAGUAAAGGUGGCCGCAAGGCUGUCGCUAUAGGAUUGGUUCGCACCCUAUCAGCUUGUUGGUGAGGUAAUGGCUCACCAAGGCUACGACGGGUACCUGGUCUGAGAGGACGAUCAGGCACACUGGAACUGAGACACGGUCCAGACACCUACGGGUGGCAGCAGUCGAGAAUAAUUCACAAUGGGGGCAACCCUGAUGGUGCAACGCCGCGUGGAGGAUGACGGUCUUCGGAUUGUAAACUCCUGUCAUCUGGGAGUAAGACCUGGCGAUAAAUAGUCGACAGGGUUGAUAGUACCAGAAGAGGAAGGGACGGCUAACUUCGUGCCAGCAGCCGCGGUAAUACGAAGGUCCCAAGCGUUGUUCGGAAUCACUGGGCGUAAAGGGAGCGUAGGCGGCGUGGUAAGUCAGAUGUGAAAUCCCGGGGCUCAACCCCGGAACUGCAUCCGAUACUGCCAUGCUAGAGGAUUGGAGAGGUAGCUGGAAUUCUUGGUGUAGCAGUGAAAUGCGUAGAGAUCAAGAGGAACACUCGUGGCGAAAGCGAGUUACUGGACAAUUACUGACGCUGAGGCUCGAAGGCUAGGGGAGCAAAAGGGAUUAGAUACCCCUGUAGUCCUAGC